GAUGAACGCUAGCGGGAGGCCUAACACAUGCAAGCCGAGCGGUAGAGUCUCUUCGGAGACUUGAGAGCGGCGCACGGGUGCGGAACACGUGUGCAACCUGCCUUUAUCUGGGGGAUAGCCUUUCGAAAGGAAGAUUAAUACCCCAUAAUAUACUGGAUGGCAUCAUCUGGUAUUGAAAACUCCGGUGGAUAGAGAUGGGCACGCGCAAGAUUAGAUAGUUGGUGAGGUAACGGCUCACCAAGUCUACGAUCUUUAGGGGGCCUGAGAGGGUGAUCCCCCACACUGGUACUGAGACACGGACCAGACUCCUACGGGAGGCAGCAGUGAGGAAUAUUGGACAAUGGGUGAGAGCCUGAUCCAGCCAUCCCGCGUGAAGGACGACGGCCCUAUGGGUUGUAAACUUCUUUUGUAUAGGGAUAAACCUAGAUACGUGUAUCUAGCUGAAGGUACUAUACGAAUAAGCACCGGCUAACUCCGUGCCAGCAGCCGCGGUAAUACGGAGGGUGCAAGCGUUAUCCGGAUUUAUUGGGUUUAAAGGGUCCGUAGGCUGAUUUGUAAGUCAGUGGUGAAAUCUCACAGCUUAACUGUGAAACUGCCAUUGAUACUGCAAGUCUUGAGUGUUGUUGAAGUAGCUGGAAUAAGUAGUGUAGCGGUGAAAUGCAUAGAUAUUACUUAGAACACCAAUUGCGAAGGCAGGUUACUAAGCAACAACUGACGCUGAUGGACGAAAGCGUGGGGAGCGAACAGGAUUAGAUACCCUGGUAGUCCACGCCGUAAACGAUGCUAACUCGUUUUUGGGUUUUCGGAUUCAGAGACUAAGCGAAAGUGAUAAGUUAGCCACCUGGGGAGUACGAACGCAAGUUUGAAACUCAAAGGAAUUGACGGGGGCCCGCACAAGCGGUGGAUUAUGUGGUUUAAUUCGAUGAUACGCGAGGAACCUUACCAAGGCUUAAAUGGGAAAUGACAGGUUUAGAAAUAGACUUUUCUUCGGACAUUUUUCAAGGUGCUGCAUGGUUGUCGUCAGCUCGUGCCGUGAGGUGUUAGGUUAAGUCCUGCAACGAGCGCAACCCCUGUCACUAGUUGCCAUCAUUAAGUUGGGGACUCUAGUGAGACUGCCUACGCAAGUAGAGAGGAAGGUGGGGAUGACGUCAAAUCAUCACGGCCCUUACGCCUUGGGCCACACACGUAAUACAAUGGCCGGUACAGAGGGCAGCUACACAGUGAUGUGAUGCAAAUCUCGAAAGCCGGUCUCAGUUCGGAUUGGAGUCUGCAACUCGACUCUAUGAAGCUGGAAUCGCUAGUAAUCGCGCAUCAGCCAUGGCGCGGUGAAUACGUUCCCGGGCCU
rnacentral:rRNA from 1 species